rnacentral:rRNA from 1 species
GACGAACGCUGGCGGCGUGCCUAAUACAUGCAAGUAGAACGCUGAAGGAGGAGCUUGCUUCUCUGGAUGAGUUGCGAACGGGUGAGUAACGCGUAGGUAACCUGCCUGGUAGCGGGGGAUAACUAUUGGAAACGAUAGCUAAUACCGCAUAAGAGUAGAUGUUGCAUGACAUUUGCUUAAAAGGUGCAAUUGCAUCACUACCAGAUGGACCUGCGUUGUAUUAGCUAGUUGGUGGGGUAACGGCUCACCAAGGCGACGAUACAUAGCCGACCUGAGAGGGUGAUCGGCCACACUGGGACUGAGACACGGCCCAGACGCCUACGGGAGGCAGCAGUAGGGAAUCUUCGGCAAUGGACGGAAGUCUGACCGAGCAACGCCGCGUGAGUGAAGAAGGAUUUCGGAUCGUAAAGCUCUGUUGUAAGAGAAGAACGAGUGUGAGAGUGGAAAGUUCACACUGUGACGGUAUCUUACCAGAAAGGGACGGCUAACUACGUG